UUCAUACAGGUGAUUACUGGAUGAGUCUUCAUACAGGUGAUCACUGGAUGAGUCUUCAUACAGGUGAUUGCUGGAUGAGUCUUCAUACAGGUGAUUGCUGGAUGAGUCUUCAUACAGGUGAUUGCUAGAUGAGUCUUCAUACAGGUGAUAACUGGAU
rnacentral:misc_RNA from 1 species